rnacentral:rRNA from 1 species
CAGUCGCCGCGGGAAUACGAAGGGUGCAAGCGUUAAUCGGAAUUACCGGGCGUAAAGCGUGCGUAGGCGGUUUGUUAAGUCUGUUGUGAAAUCCCCGGGCUCAACCUGGGAAUGGCAAUGGAUACUGGCAAGCUAGAGUGUGUCAGAGGAUGGUGGAAUUCCCGGUGUAGCGGUGAAAUGCGUAGAGAUCGGGAGGAACAUCAGUGGCGAAGGCGGCCAUCUGGGACAACACUGACGCUGAGGCACGAAAGCGUGGGGAGCAAACAGGAUUAGAUACCCCUGUAGUCCCUGUCUCUUAUAC